rnacentral:rRNA from 1 species
AGAGUUUGAUUCUGGCUCAGGACGAACGCUGGCGGCGUGCUUAACACAUGCAAGUCGAACGGAGUACCCUCGAAAGAGAUUUCGGUCAAUGGAGAGGACUACUUAGUGGCGGACGGGUGAGUAACGCGUGAGGAACCUGCCUUUCAGAGGGGGACAACAGUUGGAAACGACUGCUAAUACCGCAUAACGUACGGGUAUCGCAUGGUACUGGUACCAAAGAUUUAUCGCUGAGAGAUGGCCUCGCGUCUGAUUAGCUAGUUGGUAGGGUAACGGCCUACCAAGGCGACGAUCAGUAGCCGGACUGAGAGGUUGGCCGGCCACAUUGGGACUGAGAUACGGCCCAGACUCCUACGGGAGGCAGCAGUGGGGAAUAUUGGGCAAUGGGCGCAAGCCUGACCCAGCAACGCCGCGUGAAGGAAGAAGGCUUUCGGGUUGUAAACUUCUUUUGACAGGGAAGAGCAGAAGACGGUACCUGUCGAAUAAGCCACGGCUAACUAC